AUUGAACGCUGGCGGCAGGCCUAACACAUGCAAGUCGAACGGUAACAGGAAGAAGCUUGCUUCUUUGCUGACGAGUGGCGGACGGGUGAGUAAUGUCUGGGAAACUGCCUGAUGGAGGGGGAUAACUACUGGAAACGGUAGCUAAUACCGCAUAACGUCGCCAGACCAAAGAGGGGGACCUUCGGGCCUCUUGCCAUCGGAUGUGCCCAGAUGGGAUUAGCUAGUAGGUGGGGUAACGGCUCACCUAGGCGGCGAUCCCUAGCCGAUCUGAGGGGAGGACCGGCCACCCGGGAAGUGGAACGGCGUCCAGGCGCCUUAGGGACGGACCAGUGGGGUAUGGUGGGCAAUAGGGGGGAAGCUGAUGCAGCCAUGCCGCGUGUAUGAAGAAGGCCUUCGGGUUGUAAAGUACUUUCAGCGGGGAGGAAGGGAGUAAAGUUAAUACCUUUGCUGAUUGACGUUACCCGCAGAAGAAGCACCGGCUAACUCCGUG
rnacentral:rRNA from 1 species